GAUGAACGCUGGCGGCAGGCCUACACAUGCAAGUCGAACGGCAGCACAGCAGUAGCAAUACUGUGGGUGGCGAGUGGCGGACGGGUGAGGAAUACAUCGGAAUCUACCUUGUCGUGGGGGAUAACGUAGGGAAACUUACGCUAAUACCGCGUACGAACUAUGGUUGAAAGCGGCGGACCGCAAGGCGUCGCGCGAUUGGAUGAGCCGAUGUCCGAUUAGCUAGUUGGCGGGGUAAAGGCCCACCAAGGCGACGAUCGGUAGCUGGUCUGAGAGGAUGAUCAGCCACACUGGAACUGAGACACGGUCCAGACUCCUACGGGAGGCAGCAGUGGGGAAUAUUGGACAAUGGGGGCAAACCCUGAUCCAGCCAUGCCGCGUGUGUGAAGAAGGCC
rnacentral:rRNA from 1 species